CCUACGGGCGGCAGCAGUGGGGAAUAUUGGACAAUGGGCGAAAGCCUGAUCCAGCCAUGCCGCGUGUGUGAAGAAGGCCUUCGGGUUGUAAAGCACUUUCAGUGGGGAAGAAAGCCUUGGGGCUAAUACCCUCGAGGUAGGACAUCACCCACAGAAGAAGCACCGGCUAACUCCGUGCCAGCAGCCGCGGUAAUACGGAGGGUGCGAGCGUUAAUCGGAAUUACUGGGCGUAAAGCGCGCGUAGGUGGUCUGAUAAGCCGGUUGUGAAAGCCCCGGGCUCAACCUGGGAACGGCAUCCGGAACUGUCAGGCUAGAGUGCAGGAGAGGAAGGUAGAAUUCCCGGUGUAGCGGUGAAAUGCGUAGAGAUCGGGAGGAAUACCAGUGGCGAAGGCGGCCUUCUGGACUGACACUGACGCUGAGGUGCGAAAGCGUGGGUAGCAAACAGGAUUAGAUACCCGAGUAGUC
rnacentral:rRNA from 1 species